rnacentral:rRNA from 1 species
GAUGAACGCUGGCGGCGUACCUAAUACAUGCAAGUCGAGCGAACAGACGAGGAGCUUGCUCCUCUGACGUUAGCGGCGGACGGGUGAGUAACACGUGGAUAACCUACCUAUAAGACUGGGAUAACUUCGGGAAACCGGAGCUAAUACCGGAUAAUAUAUUGAACCGCAUGGUUCAAUAGUGAAAGACGGUUUUGCUGUCACUUAUAGAUGGAUCCGCGCCGCAUUAGCUAGUUGGUAAGGUAAUGGCUUACCAAGGCGACGAUGCGUAGCCGACCUGAGAGGGUGAUCGGCCACACUGGAACUGAGACACGGUCCAGACUCCUACGGGAGGCAGCAGUAGGGAAUCUUCCGCAAUGGGCGAAAGCCUGACGGAGCAACGCCGCGUGAGUGAUGAAGGUCUUCGGAUCGUAAAACUCUGUUAUUAGGGAAGAACAAAUGUGUAAGCAACUAUGCACGUCUUGACGGUACCUAAUCAGAAAGCCACGGCUAACUACGUG